rnacentral:tRNA from 1 species
GCCUCCUUGGUGGAAUGGUAGACACGCUGGUCUUAGGAACCAGUGCCGUAAGGCGUGAGAGUUCGAAUCUCUCAGGAGGUA